rnacentral:tRNA from 1 species
UCGUUAAUGGCCGAGUUGUCUAAGGCGCCAGUUUCAGGUACUGGUCCUGAAACAGGGUUCGAAUCCCAUUCUUGACAAA